GCCGGGGUGGCCGAGCGGCCCAAGGCGCGGGACUUGAGAUCCCGUCCCCGUCAAGGGGGCGUGGGUUCAGGGGCACCCCGCCUAGAAAUCCCACCCCCGGCGCCA
rnacentral:tRNA from 1 species